UACGAAGGGGGCUAGCGUUGCUCGGAAUCACUGGGCGUAAAGCGCACGUAGGCGGAUCUUUAAGUCAGGGGUGAAAUCCUGGAGCUCAACUCCAGAACUGCCUUUGAUACUGGGGAUCUCGAGUCCGGGAGAGGUGAGUGGAACUGCGAGUGUAGAGGUGAAAUUCGUAGAUAUUCGCAAGAACACCAGUGGCGAAGGCGGCUCACUGGUCUGGUUCUGACGCUGAGGCGCGAAAGCGUGGGGAGCAAACAGGG
rnacentral:rRNA from 1 species